CAGUAGCCACGGGAAUACGUAGGUGGCAAGCGUUGUCCGGAAUUAUUGGGCGUAAAGGGCUCGCAGGCGGUUUCUUAAGUCUGAUGUGAAAGCCCCCGGCUCAACCGGGGAGGGUCAUUGGAAACUGGGAAACUUGAGUGCAGAAGAGGAGAGUGGAAUUCCACGUGUAGCGGUGAAAUGCGUAGAGAUGUGGAGGAACACCAGUGGCGAAGGCGACUCUCUGGUCUGUAACUGACGCUGAGGAGCGAAAGCGAGGGGAGCGAACAGGAUUAGAUACCCGCGUAGUCCAUGUCUCUUAUAC
rnacentral:rRNA from 1 species